UUCAAAAUUGACAAUGAAGACAUUGGUCCCU
rnacentral:piRNA from 1 species